rnacentral:piRNA from 1 species
UGGCCAACCCAACUCCUCUUCCCACUCUGC